UGCCCAGCAACUCCUAUCCCUACCUCCUCGUGGUACCGGCCGGAAACUAUGAGCAAUCUUAGGGAAGAUCGGGUAACCAACCCCGGUGGGAACUUUGGUCGUAGGCUGACAGGGAAGG
rnacentral:ribozyme from 1 species